rnacentral:lncRNA from 1 species
AUGUUCCUCAUGCUGAUGGCUCUUCAGAUCUUGGCUGUAGCUGUGGCCCAGAACCAAGGGGAUGAGAAGAUCAUCGGUGGCUACACAUGCAUCCGGAGCUCCCAACCGUGGCAGGCAGCCCUCCUGCAAGGCCCCCAGCGUCGUUUCCUCUGUGGAGGGUCCCUGCUGUCCGACCAGUGGGUCAUCACCGCUGCUCACUGCGCCCGCCUGAUCCUUCGAGUCGCCCUGGGCAAGCACAACCUGAAGAUCCCGGAGGCCACACAGCAGGUGCUGCGCGUGGUCCGUCAGGUGCCACACCCCCAGUACAACUCGCGGACCAACGACAACGACCUGAUGCUGCUGCAGCUGGAGCGGCCCGCCCGGCUGGGGCCGGGGGUGCGGCCCAUCUCCGUGGCCAGCUCCUGCGCCGGCGCCGGCACCUCCUGCCUUGUGUCGGGCUGGGGCACCACCUCCAGUCCUAUUGCCAGGUACCCCAACUCUCUGCAAUGCGUGGACAUCAACAUCUUCUCGGAUCAGGAGUGUCGGCGGGCCUACUCUAGCGCCAUCACCCCGGGCAUGGUCUGUGCAGGGGUCCCCCAAGGCCGGAAGGACUCCUGUCAGGGUGACUCCGGGGGACCCCUGGUGUGUGGAGGGCAGCUCCAGGGCCUCGUGUCCUGGGGGGAUGGAGCGCUGUGCCCAGCCUGGUUACCCCGGCGUCUACACCAACCUGUGCAAAUAUCACACCUGGAUCCAGAGAACCAUCCAGAGAGGAUCAUAGCUGGCGGGACAGAACAUCACCUGCCCACAUGCUCCCCAGACCCUGCCCUUCCCACUCAAGACCUAGGGACCCCAGCCCCCAGCUCCUCCUCCCUCAGACCCCCAGCAUCCUGAUCCUGACCCCUGGCUCAGAACUCCCCUCUCCCAGAGCAGUUCCUUCAGGGGUUCUCUCUGUACCCCUACAUCCUCCCCCCUCGUUAUGCAGGGUACCCCAAGACACCAGAGCAGGAGCAUGAACACAAAGGCAUUGAAUGGCACCACAUUCUGAAGAAGACAAUUUUCAAAGCUCUCAGCGUCUCUAAAAACCAGAUAAAUGCUACGAAUAAAAUUUUAACAAUCCUGCA